rnacentral:rRNA from 1 species
GCUGACGAGCGGCGGACGGGUGAGUAAUGCAUAGGAAUCUGCCCGAUAGUGGGGGAUAACCUGGGGAAACCCAGGCUAAUACCGCAUACGUCCUACGGGAGAAAGGGGGCUCCGGCUCCCGCUAUGGGAUGAGCCUAUGUCGGAUUAGCUAGUUGGUGAGGUAACGGCUCACCAAGGCCACGAUCCGUAGCUGGUCUGAGAGGAUGAUCAGCCACAUCGGGACUGAGACACGGCCCGAACUCCUACGGGAGGCAGCAGUGGGGAAUAUUGGACAAUGGGGGCAACCCUGAUCCAGCCAUGCCGCGUGUGUGAAGAAGGCCCUCGGGUUGUAAAGCACUUUCAGCGAGGAAGAACGCCUGGCGGUUAAUACCCGUCAGGAAAGACAUCACUCGCAGAAGAAGCACCGGCUAACUCCGUGCCAGCAGCCGCGGUAAUACGGAGGGUGCAAGCGUUAAUCGGAAUUACUGGGCGUAAAGCGCGCGUAGGUGGCUUGAUAAGCCGGUUGUGAAAGCCCCGGGCUCAACCUGGGAACGGCAUCCGGAACUGUCAAGCUAGAGUGCAGGAGAGGAAGGUAGAAUUCCCGGUGUAGCGGUGAAAUGCGUAGAGAUCGGGAGGAAUACCAGUGGCGAAAGCGGCCUUCUGGACUGACACUGACACUGAGGUGCGAAAGCGUGGGUAGCAAACAGGAUUAGAUACCCUGGUAGUCCACGCCGUAAACGAU